rnacentral:lncRNA from 1 species
GCAUUUCUUGUAUUGCUUUUUUAUUUUUUUUUAUUUUUUUUUUAGCGGGAUCAACCUCAAUUCCUCUUUCGCUUACAAUAAACCCCAGCAACUUCCCGGACCGCACUCCAAAAGUGCACUUAUUCGGAUUCAACCUCAGUCUGAAUUGUCUCAACCGGUCAAACAACUUGGCCAGAUCUACCAGGUUCCCUUCUUCUGUUUGGGACUUU